GUGGGGAAUCUUCCGCAAUGGACGAAAGUCUGACGGAGCAACGCCGCGUGAACGAUGACGGCCUUCGGGUUGUAAAGUUCUGUUAUACGGGACGAAUGGUACGACGGCCAAUACCCGUCGUAAGUGACGGUACCGUAAGAGAAAGCCACGGCUAACUACGUGCCAGCAGCCGCGGUAAUACGUAGGUGGCAAGCGUUGUCCGGAAUUAUUGGGCGUAAAGGGCGAGCAGGCGGCGUCGUAAGUCGGUCUUAAAAGUGCGGGGCUUAACCCCGUGAGGGGACCGAAACUGCGAUGCUAGAGUAUCGGAGAGGAAAGCGGAAUUCCUAGUGUAGCGGUGAAAUGCGUAGAUAUUAGGAGGAACACCAGUGGCGAAAGCGGCUUUCUGGACGACAACUGACGCUGAGGCGCGAAAGCCAGGGGAGCAAACGGGAUUAGAUACCCCAGUAGUCC
rnacentral:rRNA from 1 species